rnacentral:lncRNA from 1 species
GUACCAAUACCAAAUUUGAGUACCAUUGUAUCACUGUUCAAAGCACUGUCAAAUUCCUUUCAUCCUUUAAUAACUCUAAGAUCCUUGAAUCUUCAGUCUGAUUUUUGCUGGAAACAAAAACGGAACCAUUGACUAGUAAUUUCUUCAGAAGCACAGAUGUUCUGCAAACAGUCCUUUCCUGUGUGUCUUCUGUUACCCUCACAGCAGAGUUAUUUUGAUUGGCUGUUUGUUUAGUUUCUUUGUUUUUAAUCCCCGGCUGGCACUUUACUCAUUGCAGUUGAGUUUAUUGCCCCGUUACUGAAGAACUCAGGAUGACCCUGGAAAGGAGAUCUGGGUUUCAGAGAUUUCCCAUCUAAGAAGAAAAUGUCCUAGAGUUCUUGAUUCUUUUCCAAACAGUCCCCUACUUUUAUUUACAGCUUUCUCUUUACCUUGUCCAAAAUUUAGCCUUGAAGCAGUUUCCCUCUGUGGCUUUGCCUUUCUCAUAUUCUCAGAGGCUUCAAGUUUUAAUGAAAUCCCAGGAUCCAAGAACCAAGGGGAGGGGUGGGAUGGCACUUUUUCUCAUUCUUGUUUAUUUUGAGGGGUCUUUUUUUUUUUCUUUGGUUGGUUUAAGAUUAGCCAUUCUCUGCUGCUAUUUCUUUAUAUAAUGUAAGUUUUUAACUGCAAUUUUGAGAUGAUUGAGAUUUACUUGAGGCUCUACUAGCAAAGCUACAGAUAAGACCCAUGGGUAGCCAACUUUCUCUUCGAGGGACUGGAAUCUAGAUUCUGACAUUUGUCCACCAACAAUGGCAAAGGAAAAAGUGGUGCAAGUAUGCCAUCCAUUUAACUCAUAAGCAUAUUACCCUGAGUAACUAUGGCCAGCCAUUCAUCGGAUCCUUGAUUGGGUAGUCCUGAAAUCAGACAUGUUCCUGUAGAAAGAAUUUUAAGUGAGGCUCUCUAUGCACCUAUCAAGAAUAAAGAGAAAAGAUUGUAUCAAACAACGGCAGGGAAAAUCCUUCAGCAAUUCUGAUCCACUUUGGGUUUUCAAUGAUAUGUACAUCUAAAGCAAUAGCAGACUAGAACUGAAUUCUUUUCUACACUAUAAAAUCACAAUUGUGGAAUUACAAGAGUUCUGGCGAUAGUAAUGUGAAAUAACCAAAACACACACACAUACAAAUAGAAGGCCCCACUUUAACAAUUGAUAUGACAAGAAAUUUUAAUGAGAGAACCUAUAACUUCAUUUUGGAAAUGUUUCCCCACCAAAUAAGGGCUUGUCCUCCUAUCAUUUAAGGAGCCAGAUGAAUUAGAAGCCGUAGAAGGAGGCAGCUGUAGAAUUUGAUCUUCCAAGUACCCCCGUACAUGUAUUGAAUUCAAUCAUAAUGCUGUCAAAUUGCUCUGAUCUCAUGAAAGGAUUUCUAUUUGCUGUCAGUUAAAAAUAAAACCCCAAAUACAUUUUUAUUCUUUCUACUGGGUGCAUUGUCUGUUUUCUUUGUAAAUGUAGUACAAUAAACAAAUUAUUU